UACAGAGACUGCGAGUCGUUAUUCGGAUUCACUGGGCGUAAAGGGUGCGCAGGCGGCCGAGUGUGUGAGGCGUGAAAGCCCGGGGCUUAACCCCGGAAUUGCACCUCAAACUACACGGCUAGAGCAUUGGAGAGGGUAGCAGAAUUCAUGGUGUAGCAGUGAAAUGCGUAGAUAUCAUGAGGAAUACCAGAGGCGAAGGCGGCUACCUGGACAAUUGCUGACGCUCAGGCACGAAAGCGUGGGGAGCAAAAGGG
rnacentral:rRNA from 1 species